AAAGCAUGGUGAUGACAUUUCUCAAGCAUUUCCUUAAAUCUCUCCCAACUCUCACAAAUUGAUUCUCCUUCAAAUUGGGUAAAAUAAUUGAUUUUAUUUCUAAGUUU